GGCCCGCAAGGGUGCUGACGAGUGGCGGACGGGUGAGGAAUACAUCGGAAUUUGCCCAGUCGUGGGGGAUAACGUAGGGAAACUUACGCUAAUACCGCAUACGACCGAGAGGUGAAAGCGGGGGAUCAGCAAUGACCUCGCGCGAGUGGAUGAGCCGAUGUCGGAUUAGCUAGUUGGCGGGGUAAAGGCCCACCAAGGCGACGAUCCGUAGCUGGUCUGAGAGGAUGAUCAGCCACACUGGGACUGAGACACGGCCCAGACUCCUACGGGAGGCAGCAGUGGGGAAUAUUGGACAAUGGGGGCAACCCUGAUCCAGCAAUGCCGCGUGUGUGAAGAAGGCCUUCGGGUUGUAAAGCACUUUUGUCCGGAACGAAACGUGUCGGGUGAAUAUCCCGGCAAACUGACGGUACCGGAAGAAUAAGCACCGGCUAACUUCGUGCCAGCAGCCGCGGUAAUACGAAGGGUGCAAGCGUUACUCGGAAUUACUGGGCGUAAAGCGUGCGUAGGUGGUUUGUUAAGUCCGUUGUGAAAGCCCUGGGCUCAACCUGGGAAUGGCAGUGGAUACUGGCAAGCUAGAGUGCGGUAGAGGGUAGUGGAAUUCCCGGUGUAGCAGUGAAAUGCGUAGAGAUCGGGAGGAACACCAGUGGCGAAGGCGGCUACCUGGACCAGCACUGACACUGAGGCACGAAAGCGUGGGGAGCAAACAGGAUUAGAUACCCUGGUAGUCCACGCCCUAAACGAUGCGAACUGGAGGUUGGGUGCAACUUGGCACUCAGUCUCGAAGCUAACGCGUUAAG
rnacentral:rRNA from 1 species